GACGAACGCUGGCGGCGUGCUUAACACAUGCAAGUCGAACGCUGAAGCUCAGCUUUUGUUGGGUGGAUGAGUGGCGAACGGGUGAGUAACGCGUGAGUAACCUGCCUCCUUCUUUGGGAUAACGCCCGGAAACGGGUGCUAAUACUGGAUAUUCACUGGUCUUCGCAUGGGGGUUGGUGGAAAGGGUUUUUCUGGUGGGGGAUGGGCUCGCGGCCUAUCAGCUUGUUGGUGGGGUGAUGGCCUACCAAGGCUUUGACGGGUAGCCGGCCUGAGAGGGUGACCGGUCACAUUGGGACUGAGAUACGGCCCUGACUCCUACGGGAGGCAGCAGUGGGGAAUAUUGCACAAUGGGCGCAAGCCUGAUGCAGCGACGCCGCGUGAGGGAUGGAGGCCUUCGGGUUGUGAACCUCUUUCGCUCAUGGUCAAGCCGCAACAAUGGUUGUGGUGAGGGUAGUGGGUAAAGAAGCGCCGGCUAACUACGUG
rnacentral:rRNA from 1 species